rnacentral:lncRNA from 1 species
GGGGGGGGGGGUUCCAUCAUAAUUUUUAUUUUACUGGGGGGGGGGUGUCACACAAUUAUAGUUUUUAUGUCUGUCAAGUAUAUAAAUUGUUAACGAUAUUAAAGUAAGCGUGCAAUCUCAGAUAAUUUCUGUCAUUUAAAAAUCUUUGAUAGUGUACAGCACCAGCAGAAUGACCAAUCUCUCAAGGGUAGUGUAUCUAAUCACUUAUUUGUUAUGGUUCAUUAUCCAUAGGAUGUGAAAAUUUACAACCAGACUUCUCUUAAAAACUGUAUAAAACAUGAAAAGUUUCUAAACAUGCAGUGGAACAUGUUUAUUUCAACUUUCUAAAGUGUUAAAAUCAUGUUGAUGAUAUUUUUUACGAUAGAC